rnacentral:rRNA from 1 species
CACGCCGUAAACGAUGAGUGCUAGGUGUUGGGGAGGAAUCCUCGGUGCCGCAGCAAACGCAAUAAGCACUCCACCUGGGGAGUACGACCGCAAGGUUGAAACUCAAAGGAAUUGACGGGGGCCCGCACAAGCGGUGGAGCAUGUGGUUUAAUUCGAAGCAACGCGAAGAACCUUACCAGGUCUUGACAUCCCGAUGACCGCUCUAGAGAUAGAGUUUUCCCUUCGGGGACAUUGGUGACAGGUGG